rnacentral:rRNA from 1 species
UGACGGUACCUAACCAGAAAGCUCCGGCUAACUACGUGCCAGCAGCCGCGGUAAUACGUAGGGAGCGAGCGUUAUCCGGAAUUAUUGGGCGUAAAGCGUGCGUAGGCGGUAUGUUAAGUCAAAUGUGAAAGCCCAGGGCUUAACCCUGGAGAGUCAUUUGAAACUGGCAUGCUUGAGUACGGCAGAGGUAAGUGGAAUUCAAUGUGUAGCGGUGGAAUGCGUAGAUAUAUUGAGGAACACCAGUGGCGAAGGCGGCUUACUGGACCGGAACUGACGCUGAGGCACGAAAGCGUGGGGAGCAAACAGGAUUAGAUACCCUGGUAGUCCACGCUGUAAACGAUGAGAACUAAGUGUUGGGGUUACCCAGUGCUGAAGUUAACGCAUUAA